rnacentral:rRNA from 1 species
CAAACGACUCUCGGCAACGGAUAUCUCGGCUCACGCAUCGAUGAAGAACGUAGCAAAAUGCGAUACUUGGUGUGAAUUGCAGAAUCCCGUGAACCAUCGAGUUUUUGAACGCAAGUUGCGCCCGAAGCCUUUUGGCUGAGGGCACGUCUGCCUGGGCGUCACAA